GCCCAUUAGAAACCUCAAAAAGUUGCCGGCCCUCCCUCGAGAAAAAUCCCUGCCAGUCUAAUGACAUGGAAAAAGAGGGAGGCCCUUUCUAACAUCCCCAGUGAUUCCCUCCACCUGGCGUCAGCCGGGUACAAGGAGCCCUGGCACAUAUCACAAUCCACAAAACAGUAUGAGCUCACAAAACAGUAAGGAAAAGAAAUGACAUGUCCACAGACUGCUAAACAGUGAGAUUGUGCCGUCACAUGAUCAGCGUGCCAAGCAGG